CUUGAGAACCGCGGCACGUGCCUGGAUCGUCCGUAGCACAGUGGGCCGUCGCGCUGGUAGCCUAGCAGACGACAUGUUGACUGCAAGGAGCACCUCGUUUCGAACGUUUCGGCCGCGAGUUUUCCUCGAUAUCUGAGUGAGGAGAGGAGAGACGAGAGCUCGAACUCGCGCGUGAGGGAAGAGGGUUAGAGGGAGGAAGAGGGAGCGAGUGAGCGCGACAAGACACACAGCACAGCAGGGCACCUCACCGUCCUCACCUCUCUCAGUCGCCCGGCGAGCGGAGCGCGGAGCAGCGCGGAGCAGCGCCGAGUCUAGUGGGUGCGUGUGGUGGUUAUGGUUUCGCGGCCAGUGCUGGAGGCCGCCAGUGAUUGAUGCUGUCGUGAAGUGUGCUCGUGAGUGUGCCCCGCGUGCGUAACACGUCGGACAGACGGCGAAGCGCGGAACGGUCGCCUUCGUGGUCGUCGCCGUUGUCACCAUCGUCGUCGACGUCGUCGUCGUCGACUCGUCGCCGCUACCGCUACCGUCACCGUCGCUGCCGCCGCCGUCGCCGUCGUCGUCGUCGUCGUCGUCGUCGUCGUCGUCGUCGCCGUCGCGGAGAAUAAACGACGACGGGAAAGAGAGGAUCGAAGGGAAGAAACGCGAGAAAAGGCGGCGAGAAAUAGAGCGAGAGAAGUUGCCUUUGACAGGAACGAGAGCCAUCGCCGGUCGUCACUGUAGCGGAGAAAAAGAGAA
rnacentral:lncRNA from 13 species